CAGCAACACAAAUAGCAAUACAACUCCGCUGGGGAAAUCUAGAAAAAAGACUUUCCAGGGGAAGCCAAGGACGAGAUGUUACCGGUAUAAGGGUAACAAACUCAGGAAAAAAUGAAUAUCUAAGACCGGUAUAAGGGUGAGAGAUAUCAAUCAACCAAACAUCUGAGAAAGACCUGAAAAAGGUACAUAAACUCAGGAAACUCUGACUCCACAGGGGACCAAGGUCAUAAUAGGGAGCAGAAAGGAAGGAACACCAGGGAUACCGAA
rnacentral:lncRNA from 1 species